UACGUAGGGUGCAAGCGUUGCUCGGAAUUACUGGGCGUAAAGGGUCUGUAGGCGGUGCGGCAAGUCGGAAGUGAAAUCGCAGGGCUUAACUCUGCGGCUGCUUCCGAAACUGCCGUGCUCGAGUGUGAGAUAGGCGAGUGGAAUUGCAGGUGUAGCGGUGAAAUGCGUAGAUAUCUGCAGGAACAUCCGAGGCGAAAGCGGCUCGCUGGAUCACAACUGACGCUGAGAGACGAAAGCUAGGGGAGCAAACAGG
rnacentral:rRNA from 1 species